AGUGAACGCUGGCGGUAGGCCUAACACAUGCAAGUCGAACGGCAGCACAGUAAGAGCUUGCUCUUACGGGUGGCGAGUGGCGGACGGGUGAGGAAUACAUCGGAAUCUACUUUUUCGUGGGGGAUAACGUAGGGAAACUUACGCUAAUACCGCAUACGACCUACGGGUGAAAGCAGGGGAUCUUCGGACCUUGCGCGAUUGAAUGAGCCGAUGUCGGAUUAGCUAGUUGGCGGGGUAAAGGCCCACCAAGGCGACGAUCCGUAGCUGGUCUGAGAGGAUGACACCCCAACCGGGAACGGAAAACCGGCCCAAGCCCCUAGGGGAGGCCGAAGGGGGGAAAUUUGGACAAGGGGGGCAACCCGAACCCAGCCCACCCGGGGGGGUGAAAAAGGCCUUGGGGUUGAAAAGCCCUUUUGUUGGGAAAAAAAAGCAGCAGGUUAACCCCCCGCUUUUCUGGCGGUACCAAAAAAAUAAGCACCGGCUAACUUCGU
rnacentral:rRNA from 1 species